rnacentral:pre_miRNA from 1 species
ACAGCAAUUGCUGAAUGGUAUGGUGAGAGUAUGUUUAGUUUUGUAAGAAACUAUCAAACUGUCUUCCAUAGUGGCUAUACCGUUUUGCAUUCCCACAAGCAAU